AAUCGUUUGCGGGGGAGCCUUGAGCUGAGAAGGAUAAAACCUGACCCUUAGAACCUGAUGUAGUUAGUACUAUCGUAGGGAAGCAACUAGACUAAUUGA
rfam:Clostridium novyi NT, complete genome.